UCCCUACGGGACGCAGCAGUGGGGAAUAUUGCACAAUGGGGGAAACCCUGAUGCAGCAACGCCGCGUGAGUGAAGAAGUCAUUCGUGAUGUAAAGCUCUAUCAGCAGGGAAGAAAAUGACGGUACCUGAGUAAGAAGCCCCGGCUAACUACGUGCCAGCAGCCGCGGUAAUACGUAGGGGGCAAGCGUUAUCCGGAUUUACUGGGUGUAAAGGGGGCGCAGACGGCGAUGCAAGCCAGGAGUGAAAGCCCGGGGCCCAACCCCGGGACUGCUCUUGGAACUGCGUGGCUAGAGUGCAGGAGGGGC
rnacentral:rRNA from 1 species